GACGAACGCUGGCGGCGUGCUUAACACAUGCAAGUCGAGCGAUGAAGUUCCUUCGGGAAUGGAUUAGCGGCGGACGGGUGAGUAACACGUGGGUGACCUGCCUCAUAGAGGGGAAUAGCCUUUCGAAAGGAAGAUUAAUACCGCAUAAGAUUGUAGCUUCGCAUGGAGAACUAAUUAAAGGAGUAAUCCGCUUUGAGAUGGACCCGCGGCGCAUUAGCUAGUUGGUGAGGUAACGGCUCACCAAGGCGACGAUGCGUAGCCGACCUGAGAGGGUGAUCGGCCACAUUGGAACUGAGACACGGUCCAGACUCCUACGGGAGGCAGCAGUGGGGAAUAUUGCACAAUGGGCGAAAGCCUGAUGCAGCAACGCCGCGUGAGUGAUGAAGGCCUUCGGGUUGUAAAGCUCUGUCUUUUGGGACGAUAAUGACGGUACCAAAGGAGGAAGCCACGGCUAACUACGUGCCAGCCGCCGCCGUAA
rnacentral:rRNA from 1 species